UACGGAGGAUCCAAGCGUUGUCCGGAUUUAUUGGUUUAAAGGGUGCGUAGGCGGGUUAUUAAGUCAGUGGUGAAAGCCGGCAGCUCAACUGUCGAACUGCCAUUGAAACUGAUAGCCUAGAAUCUAGUAGAGGUAGGCGGAAUGUAUCAUGUAGCGGUGAAAUGCUUAGAUAUGAUACAGAACACAAUUGCGAAAGCAGCUUACUAUGCUAGUAUUGACGCUGAGGCACGAAAGCGUGGGGAUCAAACAGG
rnacentral:rRNA from 1 species